ACUUAAAUUGAAGAGUUUGAUCAUGGCUCAGAUUGAACGCUGGCGGCAGGCCUAACACAUGCAAGUCGAGCGGUAGCACAGAGAGCUUGCUCUCGGGUGACGAGCGGCGGACGGGUGAGUAAUGUCUGGGAAACUGCCUGAUGGAGGGGGAUAACUACUGGAAACGGUAGCUAAUACCGCAUAACGUCGCAAGACCAAAGUGGGGGACCUUCGGGCCUCAUGCCAUCAGAUGUGCCCAGAUGGGAUUAGCUAGUAGGUGGGGUAACGGCUCACCUAGGCGACGAUCCCUAGCUGGUCUGAGAGGAUGACCAGCCACACUGGAACUGAGACACGGUCCAGACUCCUACGGGAGGCAGCAGUGGGGAAUAUUGCACAAUGGGCGCAAGCCUGAUGCAGCCAUGCCGCGUGUGUGAAGAAGGCCUUCGGGUUGUAAAGCACUUUCAGCGGGGAGGAAGGCGAUAAGGUUAAUAACCUUGUCGAUUGACGUUACCCGCAGAAGAAGCACCGGCUAACUCCGUGCCAGCAGCCGCGGUAAUACGGAGGGUGCAAGCGUUAAUCGGAAUUACUGGGCGUAAAGCGCACGCAGGCGGUCUGUCAAGUCGGAUGUGAAAUCCCCGGGCUUAACCUGGGAACUGCAUUCGAAACUGGCAGGCUAGAGUCUUGUAGAGGGGGGUAGAAUUCCAGGUGUAGCGGUGAAAUGCGUAGAGAUCUGGAGGAAUACCGGUGGCGAAGGCGGCCCCCUGGACAAAGACUGACGCUCAGGUGCGAAAGCGUGGGGAGCAAACAGGAUUAGAUACCCUGGUAGUCCACGCCGUAAACGAUGUCGAUUUGGAGGUUGUGCCCUUGAGGCGUGGCUUCCGGAGCUAACGCGUUAAAUCGACCGCCUGGGGAGUACGGCCGCAAGGUUAAAACUCAAAUGAAUUGACGGGGGCCCGCACAAGCGGUGGAGCAUGUGGUUUAAUUCGAUGCAACGCGAAGAACCUUACCUGGUCUUGACAUCCACAGAACUUAGCAGAGAUGCUUUGGUGCCUUCGGGAACUGUGAGACAGGUGCUGCAUGGCUGUCGUCAGCUCGUGUUGUGAAAUGUUGGGUUAAGUCCCGCAACGAGCGCAACCCUUAUCCUUUGUUGCCAGCGGUCCGGCCGGGAACUCAAAGGAGACUGCCAGUGAUAAACUGGAGGAAGGUGGGGAUGACGUCAAGUCAUCAUGGCCCUUACGACCAGGGCUACACACGUGCUACAAUGGCAUAUACAAAGAGAAGCGACCUCGCGAGAGCAAGCGGACCUCAUAAAGUAUGUCGUAGUCCGGAUUGGAGUCUGCAACUCGACUCCAUGAAGUCGGAAUCGCUAGUAAUCGUAGAUCAGAAUGCUACGGUGAAUACGUUCCCGGGCCUUGUACACACCGCCCGUCACACCAUGGGAGUGGGUUGCAAAAGAAGUAGGUAGCUUAACCUUCGGGAGGGCGCUUACCACUUUGUGAUUCAUGACUGGGGUGAAGUCGUAACAAGGUAACCGUAGGGGAACCUGCGGUUGGAUCACCUCCUUACCUUAAAGAA
rnacentral:rRNA from 1 species